ACCUUCUGUGAAGCUGUCGGCGCUCUUCCUGACAUCCGGCACCCGUUGGAGAGGAGGCAGUCACGCAGGGCUCCCUGAGCUGUCGACCAGAAGCAGAGCUGAAGCUGGCUUAACACGCUGAAACUCCCCCACCCACCGUCUGAGGGGACUGUUGGAGGUGGCCGUUCCAGUAAGCAGCAGGCAGUGAGCAGUGACGGAGAGAGGCCUCUUGAUCCCAAC